UAGAAAUUGGGGCUGUUACCCAAAUCUGUUAAUCCAAAGGACUAAUGCAGUAUAAGAUUCCCUGUGCUGCCCUGCCAGUAUACCUCAACCCUGACCUUUAAUGGAACAGCUGAAGGGUUAGAGGGUGGUUCAGUCUCCAUGGCCAUCAGGUUGUGAGUUCU
rnacentral:sRNA from 1 species